AUGGGUGUGGCUGCUGCGAUAUGCCGAGACCACACUGGAGAAUAUCUAGGCGCGUCGGCUGUCGUCUUUCGUGGCAUCUCUGAUCCAACAAUUCUUGAGGUAUUAGCAUGUCGAGAAGCAAUGGCAUUGGCAGAAGACCUGAACAUUCAGAGAGUGCGCAUUGCAAAUGAUUGUCAAGGAGUGGUAAAGGACAUCAACACAGGAAGCAGAGGGCCACAUGCAGCGAUUCUACACGAAAUAACAGAACAGAGGAGUCUUUUCCUUUCCUGUAAUUUUGUUUUCAAACGUAGGAAUUUUAAUUUCAAGGCUUGCUAG
rnacentral:rRNA from 1 species